rnacentral:rRNA from 1 species
CCUACGGGAGGCAGCAGUGUGGAAUAUUGCGCAAUGGGCGAAAGCCUGACGCAGCGACGCCGCGUGAGGGAUGAAGGUCUUCGGAUCGUAAACCUCUGUCAGCAGGGAAGAACGGUCACUGUGCUAAUCAGCAGUGAAUUGACGGUACCUGCAAAGGAAGCACCGGCUAACUCCGUGCCAGCAGCCGCGGUAAUACGGAGGGUGCGAGCGUUAAUCGGAAUUACUGGGCGUAAAGCGCUCGUAGGCGGUAUGUCAAGUCAAGGGUGAAAUCCCCGCGCUCAACGUGGGAACUGCCUUUGAAACUGGCAAACUGGAGUGUGUGAGAGGAUAGUGGAAUGCCAGGUGUAGGAGUGAAAGCCGUAGAUAUCUGGAGGAACAUCAGUGGCGAAGGCGACUAUCUGGCACAUAACUGACGCUGAGGAGCGAAAGCGUGGGUAGCAAACAGGAUUAGAUACCCGGGUAGUC